rnacentral:rRNA from 1 species
GAUGAACGCUGGCGGCGUGCCUAAUACAUGCAAGUCGAGCGAACAGAUGAGGAGCUUGCUCCUCUGACGUUAGCGGCGGACGGGUGAGUAACACGUGGAUAACCUACCUAUAAGACUGGGAUAACUUCGGGAAACCGGAGCUAAUACCGGAUAAUAUAUUGAACCGCAUGGUUCAAUAGUGAAAGACGGUUUUGCUGUCACUUAUAGAUGGAUCCGCGCCGCAUUAGCUAGUUGGUAAGGUAACGGCUUACCAAGGCGACGAUGCGUAGCCGACCUGAGAGGGUGAUCGGCCACACUGGAACUGAGACACGGUCCAGACUCCUACGGGAGGCAGCAGUAGGGAAUCUUUCGCAAUGGGCGAAAGCUUGACGGAGCAACGCCGCGUGAGUGAUGAAGGUCUUCGGAUCGUAAAACUCUGUUAUUAGGGAAGAACAAAUGUGUAAGUAACUAUGCACGUCUUGACGGUACCUAAUCAGAAAGCCACGGCUAACUACGUG